AUGGUUGUAAACUAAAUCCAUUAUUUACUUAGGGUUGCAAAAUGGUUACAUACUAAUUUUACAUUUUUUUCCCACUUAUUUGCUGGGAUACAUCUGUAAAGAAUAACUUUCAUGGAGCUCCUGUUGUGGCACAGCAGAAACAGAUCCGACUAGGAACCAUGGGGUUGUGGGUUUGAUCCCUGGCCUUGCUCAGGGGGUUAAAGAUCUGGCAUUGCCUUGAGCUAUGAUGUAGGUUGCAGAUCCAGCUCGGGUCUGGCAUUGCUGUGGCUGUGGUGUAGGCUGGCAGCUGUAGCUCUGAUUCCAUCCCUAGCCUGGGAACCUCCAUAUGCUGUGGGUGUGGCCCUAAAAAGAAAAAAAAACAAAACAACUUUUGUUAUCUAAGCUGUUAAUAUGUAGGUGAAUUUGUACAGAAAAUACAGGAUAAAUGGGAUAUCUUUUAUUUGUAGAUUUUUUUAGAAGAAUGGAUUCAUUUUCAAGCAUCCUUCAAGUUUUCUUUCAGUUUCAUGUCAGACUGCUGUUUUACUCUGCAGCCUCUAUUAGACUGACCCCCGUAUUGCAUAGAAAUGGCUUAAAAUUCUCAACUGACAGAACCUGUAAAUGGCCAGGUAUGUAUAUUUUUCCUUAUUGUAGCCACAGCAAAAAUGUCUGAAACCUAAAAUUUAUUUUAACAGAAAACUCUGAAACCUAUCUCAAAUUGUUGUUGU
rnacentral:lncRNA from 1 species